UGCCUACCAUGCAAGUCGAAGGGACCUGGACUUCGGAAAAAGUGAGAGUGGCGGACCGGUGAGUAACGCAAAGGGAACCUGCCCAGUGGUGGGGGAUAACUGCGGGAAACUGCAUCUCCUACCGCAUGAGCCCGAGAGGGGAAAGAUUUAUCGCCAUUGGAGGGGCCCGCGUUCGAUUAGGUAGUUGGUGGGGUAAAGGCCUACCAAGCCGACGAUCGAUAGCUGGUCUGAGAGGAUGAUCAGCCACACUGGGACUGAGAUACGGCCCAGACUCCUACGGGAGGCAGCAGUGGG
rnacentral:rRNA from 1 species